GUCUAUGGUCACACCACCCAGAACAUGCCUGAUCUUGGAAGCUAAGCAGGGUCAGACCUGUUUGGUACUUGGAUGGGCGAAAGGUAGCUGAGUCU
ensembl:rRNA 5S_rRNA 5S ribosomal RNA